GGAGAAAAGCAGGGGAUCGCAAGACCCUGCGCUAAAGGAGCGGCCGAUGUCUGAUUAGCUAGUUGGUGGGGUAAAGGCUUACCAAGGCAACGAUCAGUAGUUGGUCUGAGAGGACGGCCAACCACACUGGGACUGAGACACGGCCCAGACUCCUACGGGAGGCAGCAGUGGGGAAUUUUGGACAAUGGGCGAAAGCCUGAUCCAGCCAUGCCGCGUGAGUGAAGAAGGCCUUCGGGUUGUAAAGCUCUUUUAGUCGGAAAGAAAGAGUUGCAAUGAAUAAUUGUGAUUUAUGACGGUACCGACAGAAAAAGCACCGGCUAACUACGUGCCAGCAGCCGCGGUAAUACGUAGGGUGCGAGCGUCAAUCGGAAUUACUGGGCGUAAAGGGUGCGCAGGCGGUCUUGCAAGUCAGAUGUGAAAGCCCCGGGCUUAACCUGGGAAUUGCGUUUGAAACUACAAAGCUAG
rnacentral:rRNA from 1 species